rnacentral:misc_RNA from 1 species
GAUGAAGAACGCAGCGAAAUGCGAUAAGUAAUGUGAAUUGCAGAAUUCAGUGAAUCAUCGAAUCUUUGAACGCACAUUGCGCCCCCUGGUAUUCCGGGGGGUAUGCCUGUCCGAGCGUCAUUACAACCCUCAAGCUCAGCUUGGUGUUGGGCCCCGCCGCCCCGGCGGGCCCUAAAGUCAGUGGCGGUGCCGUCCGGCUCCGAGCGUAGUAAUUCUUCUCGCUCUGGAGGUCCGGUCGUGUGCUCGCCAGCAACCCCCAAUUUUUUUCAGGUUGACCUCGGAUCAGGUAGGGAUACCCGCUGAACUUAAGCAUAUCAAUAAGCGGAGGA